rnacentral:rRNA from 1 species
GACGAACGCUGGCGGCGUGCCUAAUACAUGCAAGUAGAACGCUGAAGGAGGAGCUUGCUUCUCUGGAUGAGUUGCGAACGGGUGAGUAACGCGUAGGUAACCUGCCUGGUAGCGGGGGAUAACUAUUGGAAACGAUAGCUAAUACCGCAUAAUAGCAGUUAUUGCAUGAUAACUGUUUGAAAGGUGCAAUUGCACCACUACCAGAUGGACCUGCGUUGUAUUAGCUAGUUGGUGGGGUAACGGCUCACCAAGGCGACGAUACAUAGCCGACCUGAGAGGGUGAUCGGCCACACUGGGACUGAGACACGGCCCAGACUCCUACGGGAGGCAGCAGUAGGGAAUCUUCGGCAAUGGACGGAAGUCUGACCGAGCAACGCCGCGGGAGUGAAGAAGGUUUUCGGAUCGUAAAGCUCUGUUGUAAGAGAAGAACGAGUGUGAGAGUGGAAAGUUCACACUGUGACGGUAUCUUACCAGAAAGGGACGGCUAACUACGUG